rnacentral:rRNA from 1 species
AGCGAACGCUGGCGGCAGGCCUAACACAUGCAAGUCGAAUGAACUCUUCGGAGUUAGUGGCGGACGGGUGAGUAACACGUGGGAACGUGCCUUUAGGUUCGGCAUAACUCAGGGAAACUUGUGCUAAUACCGAAUGUGCCCUUCGGGGGAAAGAUUUAUCGCCUUUAGAGCGGCCCGCGUCUGAUUAGCUAGUUGGUGAGGUAAAGGCGAACCAAGGCGACGAUCAGUAGCUGGUCUGAGAGGAUGAUCAGCCACAUUGGGACUGAGACACGGCCCAAACUCCUACGGGAGGCAGCAGUGGGGAAUCUUGCGCAAUGGGCGAAAGCCUGACGGAGCCAUGCCGCGUGGAUGAUGAAGGUCUUAGGAUUGUAAAAUUCUUUCACCGGGGACGAUAAUGACGGUACCCGGAGAAGAAGCCCCGGCUAACUUCGUGCCAGCCGCCGCAGUAA